rnacentral:lncRNA from 1 species
AACUUAAAAUUAUCCUAAAAAGUCUCCCGUAUAACCCAAGAGUUAGUCGACCUCACACUCCUCGCUACUGUUCACACAAACCACCAUGCGCCACCUCUUCUCCACCUUCUACCGCUCCAACCUCCGCCGACACUUACUUCAGUGCGCCAAUUACAAGCCGCAGAAGCUCCAGGCACCACCCUCCCCUCCGUCGCCGCCGAAGCCUCCAAAGAAACCGACUACUUUGA